rnacentral:rRNA from 1 species
AGUGAACGCUGGCGGUAGGCCUAACACAUGCAAGUCGAACGGCAGCACAGUAAGAGCUUGCUCUUACGGGUGGCGAGUGGCGGACGGGUGAGGAAUACAUCGGAAUCUACUUUUUCGUGGGGGAUAACGUAGGGAAACUUACGCUAAUACCGCAUACGACCUACGGGUGAAAGCAGGGGAUCUUCGGACCUUGCGCGAUUGAAUGAGCCGAUGUCGGAUUAGCUAGUUGGCGGGGUAAAGGCCCACCAAGGCGACGAUCCGUAGCAGGUCUGAGAGGAUGAUCAGCCAAACUGGAACUGAGACACGGUCCAGACUCCUACGGGAGGCAGCAGUGGGGAAUAUUGGACAAUGGGCGCAAGCCUGAUCCAGCCAUACCGCGUGGGUGAAGAAGGCCUUCGGGUUGUAAAGCCCUUUUGUUGGGAAAGAAAAGCAGCAGGUUAAUACCCCGCUGUUCUGACGGUACCCAAAGAAUAAGCACCGGCUAACUUCGUG